rnacentral:rRNA from 1 species
CCUACGGGUGGCAGCAGUGAGGAAUAUUGGUCAAUGGACGAGAGUCUGAACCAGCCAAGUCGCGUGAAGGAUGACUGCCCUAUGGGUUGUAAACUUCUUUUAUAUGGGAAUAAAAUGUUCCACGUGUGGGAUUUUGUAUGUACCAUAUGAAUAAGGAUCGGCUAACUCCGUGCCAGCAGCCGCGGUAAUACGGAGGAUCCGAGCGUUAUCCGGAUUUAUUGGGUUUAAAGGGGGCGUAGGUGGAUUGUUAAGUCAGUUGUGAAAGUUUGCGGCUCAACCGUGAAAUUGCAGUUGAAACUGGCAGUCUUGAGUACAGUAGAGGUGGGCGGAAUUCGUGGUGUAGCGGUGAAAUGCUUAGAUAUCACGAAGAACUCCGAUUGCGAAGGCAGUUCACUGGACUGCAACUGACACUGAGGCUCGAAAGUGUGGGUAUCAAACAGGAUUAGAUACCCGAGUAGUC